ACACUCCUACGGGAGGCAGCAGUGGGGAAUUUUGGACAAUGGGCGAAAGCCUGAUCCAGCAAUGCCGCGUGUGUGAAGAAGGCCUUCGGGUUGUAAAGCACUUUUGUCCGGAAAGAAAUCCUUGGCUCUAAUACAGUCGAGGGAUGACGGUACCGGAAGAAUAAGCACCGGCUAACUACGUGCCAGCAGCCGCGGUAAUACGUAGGGUGCGAGCGUUAAUCGGAAUUACUGGGCGUAAAGCGUGCGCAGGCGGUUUGCUAAGACCGAUGUGAAACCCCCGGGCUCAACCUGGGAACUGCAUUGGUGACUGGCAGGCUAGAGUAUGGCAGAGGGGGGUAGAAUUCCACGUGUAGCAGUGAAAUGCGUAGAGAUGUGGAGGAAUACCGAUGGCGAAGGCAGCCCCCUGGGCCAAUACUGACGCUCAUGCACGAAAGCGUGGGGAGCAAACAGGAUUAGAAACCCUGGUAGUCCCAUGA
rnacentral:rRNA from 1 species